rnacentral:rRNA from 1 species
GACGAACGCUGGCGGCGUGCUUAACACAUGCAAGUCGAACGGAAAGGCCCUGCUUUUGUGGGGUGCUCGAGUGGCGAACGGGUGAGUAACACGUGAGUAACCUGCCCUUGACUUUGGGAUAACUUCAGGAAACUGGGGCUAAUACCGGAUAGGAGCUCCUGCUGCAUGGUGGGGGUUGGAAAGUUUCGGCGGUUGGGGAUGGACUCGCGGCUUAUCAGCUUGUUGGUGGGGUAGGGGCUUACCAAGGCUUUGACGGGUAGCCGGCCUGAGAGGGUGACCGGCGACAUUGGGACUGAGAGACGGCCCAGACUCCUACGGGAGGCAGCAGUGGGGAAUAUUGCCCAAUGGGCGGAAGCCUGAUGCAGCAACGCCGCGUGCGGGAUGACGGCCUUCGGGUUGUAAACCGCUUUCGCCUGUGACGAAGCGUGAGUGACGGUAAUGGGUAAAGAAGCACCGGCUAACUACGUG